CAAAGGUUGCCGAAUAAUCUUGAGUGGAUUGCGUGCUAUACUUUCUUCCUCCUGCCAUUUCUUCCCUUAUCUCCCAAAAAUGGAUAUCUUCAGCCAUGGCAAAGAUUGAUCCAGGAAUCCGCCGGGGGUGCGUAGCCCAGUCGCUGCUAGUUCCAAUCCCACGCCCGGCGCCGACUGGCCUCCUCUCCCCACUCGCCGUUCCCCCAAAAUGAAGCCUUCGAUCCAGCCACUGGUCGUAUAUUUUGUUCCCUAUCCUUCAAUUUCUUAGCGAUAAAUCUUACAAAGCAACCACUAUGGGAUACAUCAGAUGUAUAUUAUGGUCAUGUCAUAGCUAUGAGACAGAUCAAGGCAUGAGUCGUGAGAUCCAAACUGCGGAUACUUAGUAAACUGAAGGUGGAAUUGCAGUCUCUGUGCAGAAGGCUGCCGGUGCUGAAGUUCAAAUCCAAAGAUACGCCAAGAUGCUUCACCUGCAGAUAGGUAUCGUGCAUCAAGGUACAUUUGUAUCUCGUCAUGGUUAUUUCUGCACCCAAAAUUACAGUUGCUCUGUCCUCUCCUUUGUGGAUAUACUUGAACAAAUACUUUAUGGAUCUUGAUUUAUUACACCAUUCCAUGUUUAUAUGGGGCUGUGGUAGAACCAGGGAUCCUACCGGGCCUGCUCCGUAGGUUGUAGGGGAAGGAUGGAGUAGGG